UUAUUAUUAACAAAUCUAGUCAUUGGCAUAGUUCUCUAUUCAUAAAAUGACACAAAGCAGGGCCUCGUGAGUGCUUGCACCACAUAUUGAUAAGCAUUUAUCACAUUUAAAUUAAUGCACAGCUAGUAUACACUUCCAUGAACGGAAAACAUCUAAUAGACAUUAAGAAUAAAAUGUGGAUGCAACAAAAACAUACAAAUAUUACAAUAAUUAAACCAUGAAAAAAAAAGUUGAAAAUUGUUUUUGAUAUUGGCUUUCUGUGAAAUGCAUUGUUAGGUGUAUCGCUUGGCACUGGUGUGAAAUAUUGUGCAUUUAGAGGAUCUGGCUUCAGUUUAAUCAUAUUAAUAAAUGAUAAUUUCAAUAAUUCCGCAGCUCAUCAAUAACUGUGUUAAUAUCAAUGGCGCCCUCUGCUGGACAGUCAUCAAAACCUUUUGUUGGCUUUGGUCAUGAAUAAUACUGACGCACACCUGUUACUCAUUUCAUAAAUCCCUGUUUUUACGUUGUUUAUGGCAACAGGACACUCUUAUACUUUAGUAAUUGAGUUUAAGCUCUUCUAUAUUAUUUUUAUUAUUAUUAAAAUAAAUGUUACAGUGGAGACAUCUGCAAAUGGCUUGUGGAAACAAAAAAAUUUAAUAAAAUAAAAAUCCGAAUUGUAUUUCAAAUAAUGACCAAAUAUAACUCUACAAUUCGUCUCGAAAAACCGAUUCCGUUUUUCUCUGUCACGAAGUGACGUCACACACCAAACUCACUUACUAAAGGUAGCGCCAUAUUCUUUUAAGUACAUUUGAAUAUGCAUUUUAAAUAGUACCAUACGCUAGGUUUAGACAUUUUACCAUGGUAAUCUUUUUUGACACUAUUUUUGAAGUACCAAGUCAGGAAUAUAUAUAGUACGCUGGUAAAGCUACCAAUCAAAGGUUUAGACACCGACUCGAUCUUUAAAGCGGUGAAACGACAGAUUAUCGGGGGGGAAAAAUGUAGGGCGGGACUUGGCUCUAUGCGUCGUUUGCUGAUUGGAUGUUGAGAUGUGGGCGUGGCGCUUUAAAAAGUCCUGCGUAGUUUUGACAUUUUGGUUAAACAUUACGAGGUCGAAACAUGUUUCAAAAUGAAACAUAUGCACGGAUGAUUUACUUACAAUAAAAUCUAUAACAUGCAUUUCCGUGACUUUCCAUCCCAUGCCGACUUUAGCUAUGAAAUAACUCCAAUCAUUUUCUCCACAGGGAAACUGAAUUUUAACGAUAGCUUUUAAAACAAUACAGUGGAGUGAAGAAGUGUUGGCCAUCUUCCUGAUUUCUUAUUUUUUUGCAUGUUGCAUGAAACACUUUAAUGUUUCAGAUCA